UACGAAGGGGGCUAGCGUUGUUCGGAAUCACUGGGCGUAAAGCGCACGUAGGCGGAUCUUUAAGUCAGGGGUGAAAUCCCGAGGCUCAACCUCGGAACUGCCUUUGAUACUGGGGAUCUCGAGUCCGGGAGAGGUGAGUGGAACUGCGAGUGUAGAGGUGAAAUUCGUAGAUAUUCGCAAGAACACCAGUGGCGAAGGCGGCUCACUGGCCCGGAACUGACGCUGAGGCACGAAAGCGUGGGGAGCAAACAGGG
rnacentral:rRNA from 1 species